rnacentral:rRNA from 1 species
UACGUAGGGUGCGAGCGUUAAUCGGAAUUACUGGGCGUAAAGCGUGCGCAGGCGGUUCGCUGUGUCCGAUGUGAAAGCCCCGGGCUUAACCUGGGAAUGGCAUUGGAAACUGGCGGGCUUGAGUGCGGCAGAGGGGGGUGGAAUUCCGCGUGUAGCAGUGAAAUGCGUAGAGAUGCGGAGGAACACCGAUGGCGAAGGCAGCCCCCUGGGCUGAGAUUGACGCUCAGGCACGAAAGUGUGGGGAGCAAACAGGA